rnacentral:rRNA from 1 species
CGGGGUGCAGCAGGCGCGAAAACUUUACAAUGCCGGCAACGGCGAUAAGGGAACCUCGAGUGCCAGGUUACAAAUCUGGCUGUCGUGAUGCCUAAAAAGCAUUGCAUAGCAAGGGCCGGGCAAGACCGGUGCCAGCCGCCGCGGUAACACCGGCGGCUCGAGUGGUAACCGUUAUUAUUGGGUCUAAAGGGUCUGUAGCCGGCCGGGUAAGUCUCUUGGGAAAUCUGGCAGCUUAACUGUCAGGCUUUCAGGAGAUACUGCCUGGCUCGAGGCCGGGAGAGGUGAGAGGUACUUCAGGGGUAGGGGUGAAAUCUUGUAAUCCUUGAAGGACCACCAGUGGCGAAGGCGUCUCACCAGAACGGACCUGACGGCAAGGGACGAAAGCUAGGGGCACGAACCGGAUUAGAUACCCGGGUAGUCCUAGCCGUAAACGAUACUCGCUAGGUGUCGGCCACGGUGCGACCGUGGUCGGUGCCGUAGGGAAGCCGUGAAGCGAGCCACCUGGGAAGUACGGCCGCAAGGCUGAAACUUAAAGGAAUUGGCGGGGGAGCACAAGGGCGAAUCGCGGCCGCA